rnacentral:rRNA from 1 species
UACCAGCACCCCGAGUGGUCGGGGCGAUUAUUGGGCCUAAAGCAUCCGUAGCCGGUCCUACAAGUCUUCCGUUAAAUCCACCUGCUUAACAGAUGGGCUGCGGAAGAUACUAUAGGGCUAGGAGGCGGGAGAGGCAAGCGGUACUCAGUGGGUAGGGGUAAAAUCCUCUGAUCCAUUGAAGACCACCAGUGGCGAAGGCGGCUUGCCAGAACGCGCUCGACGGUGAGGGAUGAAAGCUGGGGGAGCAAACAGG